CUCGAGUUGUGUUGAUACACCCAGAAAAUGGAUUACUAAAAAAAAGCUUCCAAAUCCUUUAUAAUGCAAACAGUAGAAUGUACAUAUUUUCUGUAAAUAUUACCAAUCGUUUGUAAAAUGAAUGUCAGAUGCAAUACACAUCACUACCAACGAUUGAUUCAUUUUACUUCGCGGUAUUAGUAACUUUCACGAUUGUCAUUACAGGCAACCGCGACAAAAAUGAAAAUAUAACUUUAUUAGCCUAACUACCGAGUUGUUAAUUGAGUUGCACGGCACUACUUUCCGAUAUUGAUUUCUUCACAAAAGAAGGUCGUAUUAACUCAGAUUCGAGACAGCAAUUAUUUGUGCUCGUCUGCUGCGGGAGAAUGCGAAGACAUUACUUCAAUACUAAGGAAUCUGGGUACUUCGAUACACAAAACGAGCCCUGUCGAGUCCUAGAUUGAUCUCUAUGCUAUUGGAUUUGGUCAAGGACAACUUCAUAAACGCUUUGCAGAUGGUGAUCGGUGGUUCGAUCAGUUGGAUGUUUUCCGGAUUCGUCACGACAGAGGUUCCGUAUCCACUGAGGCUGCGCGUCAAGUCAAUAUUGCAACGGGGCAUAGAGCAGGCCUCACCUAAUGCCGCCAGGGUAUCGUCAGCUUCGUGAUAUUUCAGGAUUGUGUUUGGCUGAGAAGUAAUUACACGCUGGUCCUGGGAGAGGAUAAUGCCGUGGAUCAGACUCAAUCGAUGCAGGAUCAGCUGUCUAUAGUUUAGAUAGUUCAAUGAAUAAUUUAAAAAAGUUAGUUAGUUCAAUUGCUCCCUUGGCCGAGUGGUUAGCGUCAUAACUAACAUGCCGGGUGUUCGGGUUCGAUUCCCGUCUCGACUUGUACUGUGAUCACGCGUAUUCUAGAGCUUGCCACUCAGAAUGCAUUCAAGGCGUGUUAUUUGGCAUAGAAAUCUCAACUAAGUACUAAUAAAAAUGACGCAAGUAAUACUACGUUGAGACGGCGAAGUUCCUCUAGGAACGUUAGUGCCAUUGAAGAAGAAGAAGAAGUUAGUUCAAUAAAUGAACAAAUAUGCAUACAAAAGAUCAAUAAAUUAAAUACAAUAUAUGCAUUAAGGUUGGGUUAACAUAACAUGUUUAGGGUGUAUGUUAAAUCAUCGUUGAACCGAAUGCUUCUACUGGGUUAUACUGGCCGAUUUAACAUUUGUUUACCAUUCUUAUCGCGUAAUAUGUACGAAUCUGGGUCAUGCGAAUAGAAUCAAAUUGGUAGUCAAAAAGAAACCAAUUGAAAUGUCAAUAAUCAGGAAGGAAACAAGUUUCUUUUCUUAAAAUAAACCACAUAGAGAAAGUAUCGUUAUGAAAGACAAAAAUAAUCUAAUUACAUUAAAUGAAAGAACUGAAUUUUUUCAUCAAUUAAUGCGAGCGUUUGAAAUCAUGAAAGCACAACUGACAAUUCGGUAAAUUUGCAGAAAUUAGUUUUGGUAUCUUCAGAAAUUUCAGUCUUAUUGACUUCAAAAGUCCUCUAAACUUAAUUGUAAUUCAAUUUUACUUCUCGCCAAAUGUUAGGUUUUAAUUAUUUCGAACACUAGAGUUGUAUUAUUUGAACUUUUUUCUUUCUAAAAAUACGAAUUACCCAAAUUACAACCUUUAUUUCAAUUCUAUUUCGGUCACAAAAGGUUUAUAAACAAAGCCCGAGUGAUGAAAACGUUUGCUCUUUUUAUAUGAGAAACGUUUGACAGCAUGGGGAAAAAAAGCUGUAAGAUUUUUUUUUCAACCAAAAUGCGCUUGAAAAAUAGAUUCAAGUAGAUUCAAAA